rnacentral:rRNA from 1 species
AUUGAACGCUGGCGGCAGGCCUAACACAUGCAAGUCGAGCGGAUGAAGGGAGCUUGCUCCUGGAUUCAGCGGCGGACGGGUGAGUAAUGCCUAGGAAUCUGCCUGGUAUUGGGGGAUAACGUCCGUAAACGGGCGCUAAUACCGCAUACGUCCUUAUGGUGAAAGUGGGGGUUCUUCGGACCUCACGCUUUCUGAUGUGCCUAGGUCGUAUUAGCUAGUUGGUUGGGUAAAGGCCUACCAAGGCGACGAUCCGUAACUGGUCUGAGAGGAUGAUCAGUCACACUGGAACUGAGACACGGUCCAGACUCCUACGGGAGGCAGCAGUGGGGAAUAUUGGACAAUGGGCGAAAGCCUGAUCCAGCAAUGCCGCGUGUGUGAAGAAGGUCUUCGGAUUGUAAAGCACUUUAAGUUGGGAGGAAGGGAAGUAAGUUAAUACCUUGCUGUUUUGACGUUACCAAAAGAAUAAGCACCGGCUAACUACGUG